rnacentral:rRNA from 1 species
UACGGAGGGGGCUAGCGUUGUUCGGAAUUACUGGGCGUAAAGCGCACGUAGGCGGAUCAGUCAGUUAGGUGUGAAAUCCCGGGGCUCAACCCCGGAACUGCCUUUAAUACUGCUGGUCUGGAGGGCGAGAGAGGUGAGUGGAAUUCCGGGUGUAGAGGUGAAAUUCGUAGAUAUUCGGAGGAACACCAGCGGCGAAGGCGGCUCACUGGCUCGAUACUGACGCUGAGGUGCGAAAGCGUGGGGAGCAAACAGG